CACGUAGGGUGCGAGCGUUGUCCGGAAUUAUUGGGCGUAAAGAGCUCGUAGGCGGUGUGUCGCGUCGGCCGUGAAAACCUGCAGCUUAACUGUGGGCUUGCGGUCGAUACGGGCAUCACUGGAGUUCGGCAGGGGAGACUGGAAUUCCUGGUGUAGCGGUGAAGUGCGCAGAUAUCAGGAGGAACACCGGUGGCGAAGGCGGGC
rnacentral:rRNA from 1 species